GUUAAUUUGACACAUUUUGUUUAUUCAUGCGAUUUGUACGUCUUAAUUUCUUAGUAUAUUAUAAUAAUAUACUAUCAUAACUUACUAGAUCUAUGAACUUGUCAACAUUUAUUGUGUUUUAAAUAAUAACAUUGAUAUUAAAUAUCCAUAAUCAAUGUGAAUACCGAGAUGGAGUUUUGCUCAAGUGACAAAUCUAUAAAACCUAAAACCUUACUUAUAAAAUGUAUGCACAUCAAAUGUCAAAAUUAAAGUAUUAUGUCUUUGUUCUGAGAAACUUAUAAAUGUGUAGUUUUGUGUUUUACUAUAUUGGUAUCUGAAUUCAAAGAAAAAAUAUAAAAUUUUUUAUGAAAAAAUUGAAUCUUCAAUCAUCGUUUACUGAAUCAAUAAUAGUAUGUUCAAUAUUAAUAUGGACUAUCUCAACUUACAUUGAUAUUUGUUAUUGUCUACAACUACACUACUACCAACGUCAAAUUUGGUGUAUUAUAUUAUUGUAGUCAAUCAGUCUAAACCAAUUCCAUCAAUACAUUGUCGAAUGUUGUGGUAUUCAAUUUUCAGUAAAUUUAUAGGUGUUUUAUUUUAAGUUACUGUGGCACACUAUUGCAGAUAACGGUUUUCCAUUAAGUCAGUAAGAAGAAUAAGUUGGGUUCACAAGUUCAAAUCAAAUAUUAGACAACUAUAUAUAUUUAGUUAUUCAGCUAAAAAUGUAAUUCAAUAAAAUAAUUUAAAAGUACUUUAUCAUGUUAAAAGUGACAUAAAGUUUUUAAACUCUAAGUAUUUAAACACACGUA